rnacentral:snoRNA from 10 species
GCUGUGCAUGAUGACAACUGGCUCCCUCUACUGAACCACUCUGAGGAAACUGCCAUGUCACCCAGUCUGACAACAGC